rnacentral:rRNA from 1 species
GAUGAACGCUGGCGGCGUGCCUAAUACAUGCAAGUCGAGCGAACAGACGAGGAGCUUGCUCCUCUGACGUUAGCGGCGGACGGGUGAGUAACACGUGGAUAACCUACCUAUAAGACUGGGAUAACUUCGGGAAACCGGAGCUAAUACCGGAUAAUAUAUUGAACCGCAUGGUUCAAUAGUGAAAGACGGUUUUGCUGUCACGUAUAGAUGGAUCCGCGCCGCAUUAGCUAGUUGGUAAGGUAACGGCUUACCAAGGCAACGAUGCGUAGCCGACCUGAGAGGGUGAUCGGCCACACUGGAACUGAGCCACGGUCCAGACUCCUACGGGAGGCAGCAGUAGGGAAUCUUCCGCAAUGGGCGAAAGCCUGACGGAGCAACGCCGCGUGAGUGAUGAAGGUCUUCGGAUCGUAAAACUCUGUUAUUAGGGAAGAACAAAUGUGUAAGUAACUAUGCACGUCUUGACGGUACCUAAUCAGAAAGCCACGGCUAACUACGUG